rnacentral:rRNA from 1 species
GGGGGCUAGCGUUGCUCGGACUCACUGGGCGUAAAGCGCACGUAGGCGGAUCUUUAAGUCAGGGGUGAAAUCCUGGAGCUCAACUCCAGAACUGCCUUUGAUACUGAGGAUCUUGAGUCCGGGAGAGGUGAGUGGAACUCCGAGUGUAGAGGUGAAAUUCGUAGAUAUUCGGAAGAACACCAGUGGCGAAGGCGGCCUGCUGGGCAGUAGCUGACACUGAGGCGCGACAGCGUGGGGAGCAAACAGG